rnacentral:lncRNA from 1 species
UUUCAAAUUGAGACUAUUCGAUCCAGGGGCUGGUCAUCAAGAUGGAGCAGGGUAUAGAGAAGCCAUUAGGGAUGAUACAGAACACCACCAAAGGAGCUCCUUCUGGGAUUCUCUAUUGGCUGAACUCAGCCAGAAGCUGCCAAGGGAGACCCCCACAACUGGAUGCAGCCCACUGAAGUCAGCUUCCUGGGGUGCGUAGCUGAAGGUAGCAGGGAGCAAAAAGAAUCUGAAGGGGAAGUGAACAAUGUAGAGCGUAUCUGUGCUGAAGACGUAAGGAGAGAGUGGAGGUCAGAAGCUGGCAUGGUCCCUGGUGCAUGUAUCAGCCGCUAAAGUGGAGAGUAUGAACAUAAGCAAGAGGAAGUGAUGAGUAUCCCUUCCAGGAGAACUCUAAGAGGCAGUGAGUGAUUUGCUGGGCUCCCAAGCCCUCUGCUCUGAUGACAGCAAAGCCCCAAAUCAUGGUGCCUCCAUCAGUCGGGACCCCUCAGCAGAGCCAGCUUCACAGCUGGAGUGGAUGAAUCAGAACUUUCCCCAUGGGAGCAUUUAUAAAAAGGGGACACCCAGCGCAGAAGAUGUUUUCCAGGGAGAUCUCGGGGAGCCCAACAAGCCAAGAAGAGCAGAGCAAAGCAUUCCAAGGAAGGACUCUAAGUCUGCAACCGAGCACACACGAGAGGCAGGGUCCUGCUGUGUCGUACAGGCUGGAGUGCAGUGGUGCAAUCAUGGCUUACUGCAGCUUCAACCUCUUGGGCUCAAGCCAUCCUCCUGCCUUGGACUCCCAAGUAGCUGGGACUACAGCACAAGGAAAGACCAUGUGAAUACACAGCAAGAACGUGGUGCUCUGCAAGUCAGAAACAGACCCGUCAUCAGACACCAAAUCAGCCAGCACCUUGAUCUAGGAUUUCUGGCCUCCAAAACAGUGAGAAAAUAAAAUUCUGUUGUUUAAGCCAUGCAGCCUGUUGUAUUUCAUUAUGGCAGCCUGAGCAGAAUAAGACAGGUAUAUACAAAUGCAAAUUCUAUUAAGAAAUCUGUAUCUUUUACCCUAUUGAAGU